rnacentral:rRNA from 1 species
GCUUGUCUCAAAGAUUAAGCCAUGCACGUGUAAGUAUAAAAUAACCUAUACUAUUGAAACUGCGAAUGGCUCAUUAUAUCAGUUAUAGUUUACAUGAUAAUAAUUUUCUACUUGGAUACCCGUAGUAAUUCUAGAGCUAAUACAUGCAUAAAGUCCCGACUUCUGGAAGGGAUGUAUUUAUUAGAUUGAAACCAAUGCGGGGCAACCCGGUAUAUGGUGAUUCAUAAUAACUUUCGGAUCGAUUUAUCGAUGCAUCAUUCAAGUUUCUGCCCUAUCAGCUUUGGAUGGUAGGGUAUUGGCCUACCAUGGCUUUAACGGGUAACGGAGAAUUAGGGUUCGAUUCCGGAGAGGGAGCCUGAGAAAUGGCUACCACAUCCAAGGAAGGCAGCAGG